rnacentral:rRNA from 1 species
CCUACGGGAGGCAGCAGUGGGGAAUCUUGCGCAAUGGGCGAAAGCCUGACGCAGCCAUGCCGCGUGUAUGAUGAAGGUCUUAGGAUUGUAAAAUACUUUCACCGGUGAAGAUAAUGACUGUAGCCGGAGAAGAAGCCCCGGCUAACUUCGUGCCAGCAGCCGCGGUAAUACGAAGGGGGCUAGCGUUGCUCGGAAUUACUGGGCGUAAAGGGAGCGUAGGCGGACAUUUAAGUCAGAGGUGAAAUCCCGGAGCUUAACUUCGGAACUGCCUUUGAUACUGGGUGUCUUGAGUGUGAGAGAGGUAUGUGGAACUCCGAGUGUAGAGGUGAAAUUCGUAGAUAUUCGGAAGAACACCAGUGGCGAAGGCGACAUACUGGCUCAUUACUGACGCUGAGGCUCGAAAGCGUGGGGAGCAAACAGGAUUAGAUACCCUGGUAGUCCACGCCGUAAACGAUGAUUGCUAGUUGUCGGGAAGCUUGCUUCUCGGUGACGCNGCUACGCAUAGACAUCCGCCGUCGGGAGGUACGGUCGCGAGAAUUAAACUUAAAUAGAAGUAGUACGGCGUGAGACGUGCCGACGGACGACGACGAGGGAGGUUAGG